GAUGAAGAACGCAGCGAAAUGCGAUAAGUAAUGUGAAUUGCAGAAUUCAGUGAAUCAUCGAAUCUUUGAACGCACAUUGCGCCCCCUGGUAUUCCGGGGGGCAUGCCUGUCCGAGCGUCAUUACAACCCUCAAGCUCAGCUUGGUGUUGGGCCCCGCCGCCCCGGCGGGCCCUAAAGUCAGUGGCGGUGCCGUCCGGCUCCGAGCGUAGUAAUUCUUCUUGCUCUGGAGGUCCGGUCGUGUGCUCGCCAGCAACCCCCAAUUUUUUUCAGGUUGACCUCGGAUCAGGUAGGGAUACCCGCUGAACUUAAGCAUAUCAAUAAGCGGAGGA
rnacentral:misc_RNA from 1 species